CAACAUCAGAUCCGAGGGAUCUAAGCUCCAGAAAUAUAUGACAACGAUGUUCUUCAUUUCUGGGUUUUCCAGAAAAUUAAGAACAGUCAAGGGUACUAGUUUUCGAUCCUUAUAAUUGGUAUUUUGUAAUUGUUUUGGGUGAACUAUUGGUUCCAUAAGGUAGACCACAUGUCAGGGUACAACGACAUAAAAUCAGAACAUCAUAACAACAUUGAAUCUAAGAGAUUAAGGCCGGUCAACCUCUGACAGACAACUCGGCUGAUGAAGAUCUGGGUUUUCCAGAAAACCUUCAUGAGGUAGUUUGGUCAACCUACUUUGACCAUGAUUAUAUUUCAUUCUAGUUGUGAUCUAACUGAUCUAGUAGCAUACAUGGGUAAUUAAUAUACUCUUCUACAACCUCAAACUAACAACACAACCAAAAGAUCAAACGACUUCAAGAUCAGAGGCUUGCAAAAGCUUGUCAGGAAUUCUGGGAAACUUCUGGGUAACCCAGAAACAGAUUCCGUGAACGGUCAACAUGGUUUGACCGAGCAUAACUGAUGAUCUAGACUAGAUCUAACCCUGCUUCCAGUCUCAGAUCAAAGUCCUCAUGUCAUAAAAUAGAUUCAAAAC
rnacentral:lncRNA from 1 species